UCAUUCCCCCCAACACUUAGUCAGUUUUCCCACGACUAUGUUUUCCUACACUCCGUCAAUUUUCAUUCCCAAAACCUAACCACUGCGACAGCCGUCCAGCAACCGACAUCCUCUUCCUCCUUCUCCGCUUCCGACCGUUCCCCUCCUUCUUCUCCUCCUUGUCCGCCUCUGACCGUUCUCCAGUUUGAAGCAUAAACCGGAGCUCCCAAUCAGCAAGGACGAGAUCCGAAGACACAGACCAUCCUUAUCACCCCGAAAACACAGAUUGCAGUCGCCGUCUCUUCUUUCUCUCUCCAUGGGCCUCUCCAUCUCAGCCCCUCUCUUCGACCAUCGAGGCAUCGACGGCCCUCGCUCUCCUCGUCAGUAACUCGUUUUUGAGCCCUACAAGGUCAGCAAAGUGGAUCUUCUUGCCCAAAGUUGCUCUUCAUGGCUCUUAAUUUGGGGUGCUCGGCACUUGGUGUCUGGAAGCUUAACACAUAGGGGUUCCUUCCUACACAUGCAUCCGAUUGGGUUUCAUCCUUACCCCCUGCUCAGGU